CCUACGGGAGGCAGCAGUGGGGAAUAUUGCACAAUGGGGGAAACCCUGAUGCAGCGACGCCGCGGGAGGGAGGAAGGAGGUCGGGAGGGAAAGCUCUAGCAGCAGGGAAGAAAAUGACGGUACCUGACUAAGAAGCCCCGGCUAACUACGGGCCAGCAGCCGCGGUAAUACGUAGGGGGCAAGCGUUAUCCGGAUUUACUGGGUGUAAAGGGAGCGUAGACGGUUAAUCAAGUCAGAAGUGAAAACCAAGGGCUCAACCUUGGGACUGCUUUUGAAACUGAGUAGCUAGCGUGCAGGCGAGGUAAGCGGCCUUCCUGGUGUCGCGGUGCCAUGCGUAGCUCUUCGGCG
rnacentral:rRNA from 1 species